CAAAGAUUAGCCAACACCCCCAACGCCUCUUUUGUUACCCUUCUCCAACCUUCUCUACGUCGAUCCUUCUCCAACUCUGCAUCUCCCUUCUAAUCGCCACUGGUGCUUCAUCUGCAUCGCCGAUCUUCGCGUGCUUAAACCACCGUCAUCCCGUUGCCGCUGUCUACCUCACUCAAGACUCAAAACAUGGGAGCAUUCACAGAAGGUUGAAGAUUAAAAAAAUCGGUGAAGAAUAUUGGUUUUCCUAUGGGAGUAAUUAGGCCAGGAUGCUCUACCACAUACCACCACACUCCAUCUUCAUCCAACCACCAGUCCGUCGUACCUCUUCCACUAUACCUGCAAUCAUCGCACAAUUAUCGGACUACCAUCUCUCCAGCAUCGCCUCUUCAGAAACCCUAGCCUUCACCGUUAUUGCACAUGUCUUAGCCACCACCAACCCACAAAUACACCACCGCUCCACCUCAAUGUCUCUAUUUGGUUUGCGAUCACAGGCAUAAUACCCUAGAUUUACACACAAACGAAGGUACAUCAAUAUGAGAGGAAUUUUGAAAUUUGAAUGGCAGCCAAUGACUUCUGGUGAUGGAAAGAGGGAUUCCUUUUGUAAAUUUGUGUCCUUAGGGCUUCAUUUUGUUUAGUUAUUCAAGUUAAAGGAUGUGGAUUGAUGGUAUGUAAGGAGAAAUCGGACGCAUUGAAGUGGUAUAAAUGCAGGAUGGAUGAAAUUGUAUGGCUUCAGACGUGGGUUAAAUUCAAGAUUUAGUAAUGUAUUUCAUUAUAGUUUCUUCCACUUCUGCCAUUUUGAAGGUUUAAAAUCUUUUUAAAAGCUAAAAAAAAUAACAUGAAAAAGCUUAAAAAGUUUACCAUUUCUUUACUAUUUCACAUAGAAAUUACAUUGUACCCCAAAAGGUUUAUCCAGUUAUAACUUACCACUAAAUAUUUUCCAUUGACAGUGUUAUAACGGGAAGUAAUAUAAUAGAUUUUUUUAUAUAAUGCAUGGGCUAAAUGCAAAGAAACAUCAAAAUACAUGAUAUUUCUUUAUAUGACAACAGUUUAUUUUAAUUUUUUUUUCCUAUUAAAGCAUCGUACUUUGGACCUACAUUUCUAUAACUGGGUAGUCUUUUUCGAAAGUAUAAUCUUUGUUUGUGUGUGGCUAAAGCAGAAACUAUGUUUGUACCCCAAUCAAUGGUAAAGUGCUAGAAAUAGCAGUAUAGUUUAUGUUUUUGCCACAAACAACUGAACACAUUAUUCUUUACCCAAAUAUAACAUCCAACUUUCAUUUUUAAUUUAAUUUAAUUAGAGCAAUUGGUAUUAUGCACCUUUAUUUUGUUGUAUUGACAAUUCUAUCCUUUUUAUUGUCUUUUAUCGAUUGUGAUUAUAUUCAAUUUGUAUUUGGUUGGCAUGCGAGUCGGGAAGCUAUGCAAAAUGUGGAAAUGCACAGUUUCCUACUGAGGUCAACAAAUGGAUUUUCUAAGAAAAAAGUCAUUUGAAGACAACUUGUCGGUCCAGAGCGACAUAUGCUAAGAUUGGCGCUAUUUUGAAAAACAAGAGAUAUGGCGAAGCAAUCAGCUCCUUAGAAGGUCUCAGAUGCUAGAGUUGUGCUUGAAGAUGGAUCCACUUCGAAGGCCAAAUCAUUUGCUGAUUCUGAGAGUAAAGAUGGUAUGACAAACCCACACAUUGAUGAGGAACUAAUCAAUGCUUCUUGGCUGGUUUUGUGAUUAGAAGUUUGAUUAUCAGGUAUGUUAUACGAGAUGCAUCAUUCCUGUAACAAGACUUUAGAUUGGAGAUGCACGGAAUCACUUUCUGACUAUUUGUCAAAAAGGAACAUCAUGGAAUAUGUAUGUUUUUGGUUAGGUUAGAUGCUACAUUUUUUUUGCUGAUAAGGGUAAUUUUGGAAUUAUCAACAACAUGUGUAAUAGGUUAGGACCACUCUGCCUCAAGCUGGAUUAUUUGUCAUUCCUUCUAUUAUUGUGGCAGCAAAGCAAUGCAUCAGCCUGGAGCUUAUAAGCAUUUGAUGCAUAAAGGAUGUUGAGAACUUCAAAUGCCUUCAAAGUUUCAACUAUGCAAAUUUUGUGUAUUUUCCUAAUAAAUAAAAUGAUGAAACAUUGGAUCUUUUAAUCAAUCCAAGUUAUCAUAUAAAAGUCAAGGAGCAUUGUUUCAAUGUUGAAGAAGCCGAACUGUUAGAAUUUUGGAGUAAACCAACUGGGAUGCAAAGCCUGUGGAGUGUCGACAACGACCAGGCAUGGAACUGAUUGAAUAUAUACAGAUUUCAAAAAGAUUCCUAUUACGUCUUUUAUAUGCUCUGUUCUUUACAAGGCUAAGAAUGAAUGCUUCAUAUCAUUUAAAGGAUGGAUAGAUGGAGAAGCAUCAUUGGACCCUGGAGAUGGAGGUGGGUGGAGGUGGAAGGUGGAAUACAGGAGGGCAAUCUACCGAAAGAUUCAUUGAUGGUUUUUUAUUUCUUAUCUAUUUAUUUAUUUAUAGAUCAAUUAAAGAGAGAAGGAAUGAGCAACUCAAACUAUAAACAAAUAGUUGAUCGAAUAACAUUUACAAAGAACAAACAACGGAAAAAUUGUCGCAUCCGACCCCCGCAACGCGGGGGUUCCCCAUCUAGUUAUUAUUAUUAUUAUUAUUAUUAUUAUUAUUAUUAUUAUUAUUAUCAUUGUCUUUAUACAUGUAAAACUUGUUCAUGUAUUUAAUCUUUGUAUAUAUCUAGUGAAAAUCACAACUUA